rnacentral:rRNA from 1 species
GUAGGGAAACUUACGCUAAUACCGCAUACGACCUACGGGUGAAAGCAGGGGACCUUCGGGCCUUGCGCGAUUGAAUGAGCCGAUGUCGGAUUAGCUAGUUGGCGGGGUAAAGGCCCACCAAGGCGACGAUCCGUAGCUGGUCUGAGAGGAUGAUCAGCCACACUGGAACUGAGACACGGUCCAGACUCCUACGGGAGGCAGCAGUGGGGAAUAUUGGACAAUGGGCGCAAGCCUGAUCCAGCCAUACCGCGUGGGUGAAGAAGGCCUUCGGGUUGUAAAGCCCUUUUGUUGGGAAAGAAAUCCAGCCGGCUAAUACCUGGUUGGGAUGACGGUACCCAAAGAAUAAGCACCGGCUAACUUCGUGCCAGCAGCCGCGGUAAUACGAAGGGUGCAAGCGUUACUCGGAAUUACUGGGCGUAAAGCGUGCGUAGGUGGUUGUUUAAGUCUGUUGUGAAAGCCCUGGGCUCAACCUGGGAACUGCAGUGGAAACUGGACGACUAGAGUGUGGUAGAGGGUAGCGGAAUUCCUGGUGUAGCAGUGAAAUGCGUAGAGAUCAGGAGGAACAUCCAUGGCGAAGGCAGCUA